CUGCUCUGCCUGACUCGGGAGGGGCCGUUGGAGCCUCUCCCGGGGCCGGAGAAGGGUGUGUGACUGAGAUCAGGGCUCCUAUCAUACUGAGCGUGGCUCUGUUCUGACAGCUGCUGCGGAGACCCCAGCUGAGAUCUGGGCCCUGUUCUGCCAGGCACUGAAGAGACCCCAGGUGAGAUCAGACCCCACUGUUGUGCCAGGUAAAACUGAGACCUGCACCGAGAUCACGGCCCCCCUUGUGCCAGGCAGCGCACGACUGCGACCCGAACCACUGCCUCCAUUGUUCUGGGCACUUCAGAGACCUCAACUGAGAUGUGUGUCCCCGUUGGGCCUGGCAUUGCAGUGACCCUAACAAAGAUCACACCCCACCACUGUACACUGCACAGACCCUGACAGAGAUCCUGCCCUCACAUUUUGCCAGUUGCUGCAGGGGUCCUAAACAAAAUCAGGGCUCCUGUAAUGCUGGGAAUUGCAGAGUCCCCAGCUGAGAUCAGGCUUCCUGUUGUGCAGGGCUCUGCACGGACACUGACCAAGAUCAGGAUCCCCAUU